rnacentral:rRNA from 1 species
CAAUAGCGUAUAUUAAAGUUGUUGCAGUUAAAAAGCUCGUAGUUGGAUUUCUGGUCUGAGCGUUUAGUCCGGCGCUGUGCGUUGUGUACUUGAAUGACUUGGACCUUCCUUGUAGGGAAUAUGUGUGGUCUUAAUUGAUCGUGCAUGGGAACUGCAUCGUUUACUGUGAAAAAAUUAGAGUGUUUAAAGCAGGCAUUUGCUGUGAAUACAUUAGCAUGGAAUAAUAAGAUAGGACUUUGGUACUAUUUUGUUGGUUGGAGGCCAAGGUAAUGAUUAAUAGGGAUAGUUGGGGGUAUUCAUAUUUAAUUGUCAGAGGUGAAAUUCUUGGAUUUAUGAAAGAUGAACUUAUGCGAAAGCAUUUACCAAGGAUGUUUUCAUUAAUCAAGAACGAAAGUUAGGGGAUCGAAGACGAUCAGAUACCAU